GACGAACGCUGGCGGCGUGCUUAACACAUGCAAGUCGAACGCUGAACCCGCUUCGGUGGGGGUUGAGUGGCGAACGGGUGAGUAACACGUGGGCAACCUGCCCCCGGCUCUGGGAUAACUCCAAGAAAUUGGGGCUAAUACCGGAUGUGACCGCUGGCCGCAUGGUCUGGUGGUGGAAAGGGUUUCCGGCUGGGGAUGGGCCCGCGGCCUAUCAGCUUGUUGGUGGGGUAGUGGCCUACCAAGGCGACGACGGGUAGCCGGCCUGAGAGGGUGACCGGCCACACUGGGACUGAGACACGGCCCAGACUCCUACGGGAGGCAGCAGUGGGGAAUAUUGCGCAAUGGGCGGAAGCCUGACGCAGCGACGCCGCGUGGGGGAUGACGGCCUUCGGGUUGUAAACCUCUUUCAGCAGGGACGAAGCGCAAGUGACGGUACCUGCAGAAGAAGCACCGGCCAACUACGUG
rnacentral:rRNA from 1 species